CAAGACAACUUUACGGAGUUGACGAUUGACGGAGCGAAGCGACGUCAAAGCGUUCAUUAAAGUCGAGUUGGCUUAGGGAUACGUUCGUUGGGUAGGGGAGCGUUCUGUAAGCCUGUGAAGGUGUGUCGUGAGGCAUGCUGGAGGUAUCAGAAGUGCGAAUGCUGACAUAAGUAACGAUAAAGCGGGUGAAAAGCCCGCUCGCCGGAAGACCAAGGGUUCCUGUCCAACGUUAAUCGGGGCAGGGUGAGUCGACCCCUAAGGCGAGGCCGAAAGGCGUAGUCGAUGGGAAACGGGUUAAUAUUCCCGUACUUGGUGUUACUGCGAAGGGGGGACGGAGAAGGCUAUGUUGGCCGGGCGACGGUUGUCCCGGUUUAAGCGUGUAGGUGUGUGUUCCAGGUAAAUCCGGUUCACUUUAACACUGAGGCGUGAUGACGAGGCACUACGGUGCUGAAGCAACAAAUGCCCUGCUUCCAGGAAAAGCCUCUAAGCAUCAGGUAACAUCAAAUCGUACCCCA
rnacentral:rRNA from 1 species